UUAGAGAGGCUUUUGGAUAACAAAGAUGGGAGCAAAAAAGAGAAGCCAUUGAUAGAAGAAAAUAUGUUCUUUAGAAGCUUUAUAGAAGUUUGAUACAAAACUUAUAUUUCAACAUAAUUUCAUACAUCUUUGCUUAUGUUGAAGAAGAGGAAGAAGAUAUCAAGAGCCAUUGAACGGAUUCAAGAUUUAAGAUUGCUUUAAAUCCUUCUCCCCAAUCUUUAAUUCCGAG
rnacentral:lncRNA from 1 species